rnacentral:rRNA from 1 species
AUUGAACGCUGGCGGCAGGCCUAACACAUGCAAGUCGAGCGGAUGAAAGGAGCUUGCUCCUCGAUUCAGCGGCGGACGGGUGAGUAAUGCCUAGGAAUCUGCCUAGUAGUGGGGGACAACGUUUCGAAAGGAACGCUAAUACCGCAUACGUCCUACGGGAGAAAGUGGGGGAUCUUCGGACCUCACGCUAUUAGAUGAGCCUAGGUCGGAUUAGCUAGUUGGUAGGGUAACGGCCUACCAAGGCGACGAUCCGUAACUGGUCUGAGAGGAUGAUCAGUCACACUGGAACUGAGACACGGUCCAGACUCCUACGGGAGGCAGCAGUGGGGAAUAUUGGACAAUGGGCGAAAGCCUGAUCCAGCCAUGCCGCGUGUGUGAAGAAGGCCUUCGGGUCGUAAAGCACUUUAAGUUGGGAGGAAGGGCUUACAGCGAAUACCUGUGAGUUUUGACGUUACCGACAGAAUAAGCACCGGCUAACUUCGUGCCAGCCGCCGCCGUAA